rnacentral:tRNA from 1 species
GGAGAUAUAGCUCAGUGGUAGAGUGCUUGCCUAGCAUUCAGGAGUCCCUGGGUUUGAUCCCCAGCACCA